AUGGUUGAGAAACCCUAUUGUAGUAUAGGACACCUUACUGCAGAAGACAGGGAAAAGGAAAAGCAUAGCUGCAUGCUGAAGAAGAUCCAAAUUGCUCCUAAAUAUUCACACAAUCCAAGAAUGGUGGAGUCUGGCUGCCUGCCCAAGCAGGGCCAGCUGGAUGCUGUGCGCAUCAUGGCAAAAGACCUAGUGCGUACUCGGUGCUAUGUACGCAAGUUUGUUUUGAUGCGGGCCAAUAUCCAGGCUGUGUCCCUCAAGAUUCAGACACUCAAGUCCAACAACUCAAUGACUCAAGUCAUGAAGGGUGUCACUAAGGCCAUGGGCACAAUGAACAGACAGCUAAAAUUGCCCCAGAUCCAGGAGAUCAUGAUGGAAUUUGAGUGGCAGGCAGAGAUCAUGGACAUGAAGGAGGAGAUGAUGAAUGAUGCCAUUGAUGAUGCCAUGGGUGAUGAGGAAGAUGAAGAGGAGAGUGAUGCUGUUGUAUCCCAGGUCUUGGACAAGCUGGGACUGAUCCUGACAGAAGAACUGUCCAAUGUCCCCUCUACUGGAGGCUCACUCAGUGUAGCUGCUGGUGGGAAAAAAGCAGAAGCCGCAGCCUCAGCCCUGACUGAUGCUGAUGCAGACCUGGAGGAGCAGCUCAAAAACCUAUGGAGAGACUGACUGCCCCCCUGCCACUUGGGAGUGGAGGGACCAGUGGAUGUCUGGAACCUUUACCAUAAGCACUCUGUAAUAAAAGAGAUUGGACACUUAAAAAAAAAA